CCGAUUCGUUGUCACUGAGAGUGGCACCUACCAGUGUGACAGACCUGGCACCGGGCGCAGCCCUCCCGUGAGCAUCUUAUAAUGCUGCACCACAGUGGCCGCUACCGCUGCAAUUGCCAGAUGGGAACCAACCGGCUGGAGUCAGUGCCAGUGACUGUGACAGUGCACGAGCUCUUCCCGGUGCCAGUGCUGGAGGGUUCUCCCGA